UCAUCGUGUGGACCUUAUCCAUGGAGCUGCAAUAUAUGGACGUAUACCCAACUUGGCCACUACUCAUCUAUUCCCGUAAUUAAGCCUCACACCACGUAAUUUCCUCAUCUCCCCAAAUCAAGGAGAACGAAAUCCAAGGAGCCGCCCCUCCCCAUUAAGCUGUCCAUGGCAAUACUCAUCGAGCAAAUCGACCCAUCGUCCUGCAUGUGCCUCCGCAAGCAUGGAACCGGCGACGUCGCCACCGGCCUCGGCCUCCUGCCUCUAGAUUCUCCUCCUCCAGCCCUCCCGAACUCUGUCUAGAUCUUCACAUCGACGGCGAGUAGGAGCACACCAGGGUCGAGGCUUACCGGCUGUGGGCACGGCGGUGUUGUGGUGGUGACGAGCGCGCCGGCAAGAGGGCCAAGCCAUGGCCGGAAUCCCACCGCCGCGAUCAAUGGCUUCUCAAGAUGGAGACGAAGGCUCGGCUGUGGCUGGUGCAGGGAAUGUUACCUCAGUUGAUCCUUCGUCUCAAUGUGCUAUACCAACAUCUGAAGCUACUCCGAUAUCUCAAGCUGCUACUCCAACAUCUGAAGUUGCUACUCUAACAUCUCAAGCUACAGCUAGCAGAGCUGGUUCGAAGAGGAAGCGAACAUCGGCAGUAUGGGAUGAGAUGGAAGAGAAAUUCUAAAAUGGACAAUGGAAAGCCGAGUGCAAUCAUUGUCACAAAAAAUUUACUGCAGGACCUAGAGCUGGCACAACUCACUUGCGUUUACAUUUGGAAUCUUGUCCAGAUAAGCAUGCACCCAUUGGCCCAAAGCAACAAAAAUUGAGGUUGACAAAAGGGUGAAGGUGGCAAAGUUAAUAUGGAAAAUAUCAUUUUUGACCAAGAGAAGUCCAGGAGAGAUCUUGCAUUGAUGAUAUGUGAACAUGAGUAUCCUCUAUCUAUUGUGGAUAAGUUUGAGAAGUAUUGGAAGGAUAAGUUUGAGAAGUAUUGGAAGGAUAUCCAUGGUCUUAUGUCCGUUGUAACAGUUCUUGAUCCAAGGUAUAAACUUCAUAUCCUCAAUGCUCUUUAUGGUCCCCUCUAUGGAAGAGAGCAUGCAGCCGCAGAAAUAGAAAAGGUGAAGAAGUUAUUGAUUCAAUUGGUGAAGCAAUAUAAAGAUGAAGUUGGAGGUGAGGAUGCAUGGGAUGCUUCUGUUGUUGAGCAACUUGGAGAAGAAGAUGAAGCCAUGAAACUCUAUGAUCUGUAUUUGUCUAGUCACCCCACUGUCCCUUCUUCUUCAAUCCAUACAGAAUUGGACUUGUAUUUAGAAGAAGCUCGUCUACCUAGAACGCAAGAAUUGGAUAUCAUCAAUUGGUGGAAGGUUAGCGGCUCUAGGUUUCCUACCUUGCAAAAACUUGCUCGUGAUAUAUUGCCUAUUCCCAUAACAUCGGUGGCUUCCGAAUGUGCGUUUAGCACUAGUGGCAGAGUACUCGCACAUCGUAGUAGACUUACUCCUAGUGUGGCUGAAGCUCUCAUGUGCAUGCAAGCUUGAUCUCGUGCAGAUCUGUUAGGUGGUUGGAAUUCUACACUCUUUGCUACUCCCUCCAUCCGGAAAUACUUGUCAUCAAAAUGAAUAAAAGGAGAUGUAUUUAAAUGUAUUUUAGUUCUAGAUACACCCCUUUUUGUCCAUUUUGAUGACAAGUUUUUUCGGACGAAGGGAGUACAUUUCAGAGUGUUCUCGAGGAUGAAGAUGAAGAGAUGGUAAAUUACUUAAAUGCUUUGAUCUUAAAUUUUGGGAUUAUAGCUGAAUAAUUUAAUCAUGUGUCGUAUCAUCUUGUUCAUGUGAAGGAUGAGUCUACUUCAAUCACCACCCAAGAGUGAAGAUAUUGCUGCUCUUUGUGCCGGGUUGGAACUUGGAGCUGAUGGCUGCUAUUUGUGCUAGCUGGUGGCUCGUGUUGUGUCUGCUAUCUGCUAUAGCAGCUGGUUCUGCUAGCUGUCGUUUGUGUUGGCUGAUCGUUGCCUCG